UACGAAGGGGGCGAGCGUUGUUCGGAUUUACUGGGCGUAAAGGGCGCGUAGGCGGUUUUGGUAGUCAGGCGUGAAAGCCCCGGGCUUAACCUGGGAAUUGCGCUUGAUACUCUGAGACUGGAGUACGGGAGAGGAGAGUGGAAUUCCCAGUGUAGAGGUGAAAUGCGUAGAUAUUGGGAAGAACACCGGUGGCGAAGGCGGCUCUCUGGACCGUAACUGACGCUGAUGCGCGAAAGCGUGGGGAGCAAACAGG
rnacentral:rRNA from 1 species